rnacentral:rRNA from 1 species
UACGUAGGGGGCGAGCGUUGUCCGGAAUUAUUGGGCGUAAAGAGCUCGUAGGCGGUUAUGGAAGUCGGAUGUGAAAUACCGGGGCUCAACUCCGGGGCGCCAUUCGAUACUCCAUUGACUAGAGUCCGGUAGGGGAAGGUGGAAUUCCUGGUGUAGCGGUGAAAUGCACAGAUAUCAGGAGGAACACCGGUGGCGAAGGCGGCCUUCUGGGCCGGUACUGACGCUGAGGAGCGAAAGCGUGGGGAGCGAACAGG